rnacentral:rRNA from 1 species
CCUACGGGAGGCAGCAGUGGGGAAUCUUCCACAAUGGGCGGAAGCCUGACGGAGCAACGCCGCGUGAUCGAAUGAAGGCCUUCGUGUUGUAAAGAUCAGCUGACAGGGACGAAUAAGCCAUACGAAUAGUUUGAUGUAUGACGAUACCUGUUUCGAAAGCUCCGGCUAACUACGUGCCAGCAGCCGCGGUAAUACGUAGGGAGCAAGCGUUGUCCGGAAUUACUGGGCGUAAAGGGCGCGUAGGUGGGGGCUUAAGUCAGGUGUGAAAACUCUGGGCUCAACCUGGGGACUGCACUUGAAACUGGGUAUCUGGAGGGCAGGAGAGGAAAGUGGAAUUCCUAGUGUAGCGGUGAAAUGCGUAGAUAUUAGGAGGAACACCAGUGGCGAAGGCGACUUUCUGGACUGUACCUGACGCUGAGGCGCGAAAGCGUGGGUAGCGAACGGGAUUAGAUACCCGUGUAGUC